GACGAACGCUGGCGGCGUGCCUAAUACAUGCAAGUUGAGCGCUGAAGGUUGGUACUUGUCCCAACUGGAUGAGCAGCGAACGGGUGAGUAACGCGUGGGGAAUCUGCCUUUGAGCGGGGGACAACAUUUGGAAACGAAUGCUAAUACCGCAUAAAAACUUUAAACACAAGUUUUAAGUUUGAAAGAUGCAAUUGCAUCACUCAAAGAUGAUCCCGCGUUGUAUUAGCUAGUUGGUGAGGUAAAGGCUCACCAAGGCGAUGAUACAUAGCCGACCUGAGAGGGGGAUCGGCCAAAAUGGGAAUGAGACACGGCCCAAACUCCUACGGGAGGCAGCAGUAGGGAAGCUUCGGCAAUGGACGAAAGUCUGACCGGGCAACGCCGCGGGAGUGAAGAAGGGUUUCGGAUCGUAAAACUCUGUUGGUAGGGAAGAACGUUGGUGAGAGUGGAAAGCUCAUCAAGUGACGGUAACUACCCAGAAAGGGACGGCUAACUACGUG
rnacentral:rRNA from 1 species